UUAACAUAAAUAACUAAUAGGGGAUUUCAGUAAUGAGGAAUCGGCUAAUAGAGGCAUGGAGAAUGCAAACAAGUAAAGAACAGUAGACAUAGGGAGAGCCACAACCCUGGGGCUGGGAUAGAGCACCCAAGAAAAAGGCCACUCCUCCAGGGGCUGAGAUACCAACUGUGGAGGGGCAUGGAGCAGUUCACUGUGGCACCGCUCUGGUGGGACUUGCUGGAAAUCCUCCCCCUGGAGUUCGAGGGAAGCUGUCCUCAUGAAGGUGCUGUGCCUCAGAACUCUACAGACUGUGGGAAGCUGGGGAAACUGUUUUGGGGGAGAAACCAUGCUCACUAAUACUCUAUUAUGAAGCUUCCUCAGGGAAGUGUGCAGAGAACUGGAGUGGACCUUCCCCUAGGAAGCUGCCCAAAACGAGAGUGCUGGAAAGCUGGCCGCAGUGAGGCACUUCAGAUCCCAAGGGUAUGCUGGGGAAGCUGCCACAGGUGGGAGCACUUGCUGCUGGACCCUAGGCACUGUUGAAACAACUGCACCAUCUGCAGGAGCCCAGCAAGGUGAGUACAGCAGAGCAAGAGAAAAUACUCUUUCCUCCAGUGCUCCUCCACUCACAGAGCUGAACAUUGGGCCAGCUGGUGAUGGGAAGGUAUUUACAGAAUUCAGCUCCAUGGAAAGAAAGGAGGAUUUGGAGCUGAGAGGCAAUAAAUCAAUAACACAUGCUGUUAUUGAUACAAGAAAAUAUGAAGAUCUCUUUUUUUCCUGCAUACAGUUGGUUGGGGAUAGUUAUAUUCUGCAAAUAAGAACUGAGUAAAGACUUCUGCAAAACUUUUAGAAAAUCUUUCUUCACUUAUAGGAAGGAGACAGUGGUCAAGAUGGCCACUUCUGUCUAAAAAUGUAUUGAUACGUGAAAGUGUCGCAGCUGUUGUGCCUGAGGAUAGACCCCUACUGAACAGGGCAGAGUUAAGAGAACCACAGAACAGUGGACUCAGAGCCCUAAAGUCCAGCACUUGGAUCCUGCACUGCUAUGUACCUCUUAGUUAUGUUAAAUGACAUAUUUUCAUAAGAUUUAAAGCACAUUAAGCCUGGACUUUCUGUAGCCCAAAGCAUCCUAGUUGUUACUCUCCUCUCACCUCCCUAGUUUUCGUUAGUCUUAUAAAUAACAUCUUCAUCAUCUACAUGAUCAUUCGAGUCCCGAAUCUAAAAGUUGUCCUUGAAAUCUCCUUCCUUGCCUAUUCCUCAGAUACCUCCCCUGCACCCAAUCCAUCUUAGGUCUAGCUCCGUCUUCAAAAUAUUCUUUAAUGUAUCCUCUUCUCUAUAUUUCUGCAAACACACUGUAGUCCAGGUUCAGGAGAAAUGACUGUGGAUCCAACCAUCACAUCCCACUUGGAUGUGUUUAUUUAUAAAGUGCUUGCAGAUCAUGAGAAGGAGGUCACUGGGGUUACCAUUCACUCCUGAGAGAAGUUUUUGUUUAAUGUUUGUCUUAUUGUCUUGAGGAAAAGCAGCUUUAUUAAUCUUUCAGAAAUACAUUAGAUUGAAUCAAUUAUAGACUUUCUAUUAAGAAAAUUAGAUAUUUUUUUCAUAUUUGCACUACGUGUACUGCAAUAGACACACAAACCAAACAUUCUGAGUAAACACUAGGCCUUUAAAUUUAUAUCGAUCUAUCAGGCAGAUGGGGUUGUUUAGAAGCCGGGGGGAGAAAGAAGAAAGAUUAACUGUUGUAAUCAGAGAUUGUCUAUUUCCAUGCAGCCAAAGCCAGGCAUCCCAUCUGGAGAGAGAGAAGACUGAAGCAGAAACACAAUGGGAAGGAAGCAAAGAUGGAGGUAGAAUAGCUGCCACGAGCCCUGAUAGUUUCAGGCCUUGACUGCAUGUCCUUAGGAUCUCAGGCUUCUCUGUUUUUCCUUUGGGUUCCAUGAAAAACCCCGAUAUUUUGGUAAUAAACACCCUUGGGUUGCUUUGCCUGGCUUGAAGAUUUUGCUUACAAACUAAAGAACUGUGGACAAGAUACACUUCUUGUCUCAAGAGGGCCUGUAUAUUUUAGGAUUUAACUGCGUGUACAUGGAAAGUGUUACCACAUUUUUUCUGUUCUUUUCAGAGAUGAGUUUUUGGAUUCAACUGAAGCCCUUGCUAUCUGCUAGAGUCAGAGUCAUCACAAUUGGGGGGUCUUCAUUAAGCUACACUUUUUAAUGGAACAUCCUAGUGAGGUUUGAGAGUACAGCUUUAUGGUCUAUAUUACAUUACUAAGCCGAUUUUAUUGGGUUAGUCUAUACGUUUUACAAAGUUAAAACUUGUAUAAGAAUUUGAGAAGCUACACACACACACAUACACACACAUGCACACACACACACUCUCACACAUUUCAUAAAAGAAUAUUAGGAUAAGAUUUCUCGAUACAAAACUGUUACCUUUGGGGUUAUCUCUCCGCCAGAAAGAACUUGUUUGCAUCCCUGCUAGACAAAAACCUACAAGUUAACCUUUGCCCGUAUGGAGUUGUAAAACAGACCAGUUGAUAGAAAGAGAAGCCUGGUAAGUACUGCACUGAAAGAAUAUCCAGACAUUUAUUUUGCCUAUUUCUAAGUUCUGAAUAAUGUUUCUUAUACCCAUACUCUUAAUACUCUUAAUGUGGUAGUGUAUCCAUAGUCCUCCCUCUACACUCACUCCCUUAGUGAUCUCGCUCAGUCUUGUGGUUAUAAAUAACAUCAAUAUUCUCAUAAUUCCCAUGUUUAUAUCUGUAGUUUGGAUCUUUUUCUUGAAGACCCUUAUGUUCAACUGCCUGUGGCAUGAUGCACUUAGAUACCUACUGGGGAGUUUAAAUUAAACAUGUCUAAAACUAAAUUCUGUGUUAUGUUUUCCAUAAAAAGCCUACU
rnacentral:lncRNA from 1 species